rnacentral:lncRNA from 1 species
CAUAUUAACUCAUUUGAUGGUUUCAGAAUACAGGAUAAUAAGGGCCACACAACAAUUACGACUUCAGGACCUAAAAAGAACCACAUGUUUGGCCCACCUGAUUGUUCAACCUGAGUUAAUUUAGAGAAUAAAGGAAGCUCAGUCUGCCGAUUCCACCCUAGCAGCCCUCAAAAAAUAUGCAGAACAGAGAGUUAAUUUAGAGUUUCGAGUCUAUGCC